GGAAGGAUCAUUACCAAAAAUCCCAAUCAUACCAACCAACCGUGUGAACUGUAUUGUACCUUUGGGGAGCGUUGAAGGAGGAAUUAAACGCCAAAAUCGGCAAGCCACUCCUUCAACCUCGAGGUUUAAGGAAAGGACAGUCGGGGAGGGGGAGAGAGGGGAAAGAGAGAUGUUGUUGGCUCUCACUCUUUUGAGUGAUUGCUCUCUUCAUCUCUCUCUCUCACUCACUCACUCACUCUUUUCGCUUGUUCUUUCUUGCUCCCCAAAUGGAUUUUUUCCUCGAGGGUCUUUUUUGCCGUUCCAAAAAUAUUCAACUUGAACCCAAUAUAAAUACGAAUUAUUUCCAAACACGAGGAGUGAGAGCAAGUCUCUCAUGACUUAUGAUACAACAUUGAAUCCUCUGGACUCAUUUCGAUGGGGCCAUGGUUUGAUGGAAAGUUGAUAAAUACAACUUUCAACGGCGGAUCUCUUGGCUCGUGCAUCGAUGAAGAACGCAGCAAACUGCGAUAAGUAAUGCGAAUUGCAGAAUUCAGUGAAUCAUCGAGUUUUUGAACGCAAAUGGCGCUCCUGAUGUUCUCAGGAGCAUGUCUGUCUGAGAGUCGUUUUUUCUUCAUCUCACCAAUAUCUUUUUUGUUUCACUACAAAGAAGAGCCGGUGGCCUGUGGGGUCGUGGAGAUGGCUUGUUUUUCUCUUCGGAAAGCAUAAACCCAAAUCCUGUUUCGGACCUUGAUCAGUUCGAAUCCCCUUAAAUACAGUGUGGAAAAAAACGUUCCUGAGCAGUCUCUUCUUCUUCUCUUUCACAAGAGAGAGUGAGUGACUGCCUAUGGAAACAUGAUGUUUUUGACUGAGCCUCCUCCCUUUCCAGAAUAUUGGACAAAGAGAGAAGACACAAUCAGGAAAAAAAUCAUCUUGUUGAUUUGGUCUCUUCUCCACACGCACACAUCCGUGUGUGUGUUGUGGAAAAAGGGGCUCCCUUUGGCCCCUUUUUUUCUUCACAAACCAAACCUGGAUAACUCAGACGAUUGUCUGAACCACUAUCCGAUUUUUUAAUUCAAAAAUCUUUGAAUAACACAUCAUGCCUGAGAAACAUGUUGGCACUGGAGAAACAAUUUAUUUUGUUUCACCUUUGCCGCCCUCUGGUUCUCUCUCUUGAUGAGGUAAAAAGCUUUAGAGAUUUUUUCUCUAUUCAUUUUUCCAUCAAGAGAGAAACUGGCUUUGGGUAUGCAUGGAUUCCCUUAUGAAUUGUGGAAAAUCCCAGAUUGGAAUUAAAAUAGGCAACGAGUUUGUGUGGGAAAUAAACCAGGACAAUGUGGUCAACUUGCUGGUUCUUUUUGCUUGUCUUUUUCUUUUCGAUCAAAAAUGGAUUGGAAAAAAGCUCCACACACGCAUCAACAACAAGCACACACACACACACACACAUGUGUGUGUUGUGUCUUUGCUGUUGUGCGAGUGUGAAAAAGAAAAUAAACUUUUCGAACCGCGACCUCAGAUCAGGCAGGACUACCCGCUGAAUUUAAGCAUAUCAUUAAGCGGAGGAAAAGAAACUAACAAGGAUUCCCCCAGUAACGGCGAGUGAAGAGGGAAAAGCUCAAAUUUGAAAUCUCCAAGGAAGAAACCUUGGCGAAUUGUAGUUUAGAGAAGUGCUUUCGAGUCAGCGGCGGCAAUCCAAGUUCCUUGGAACAGGACGUCAGAGAGGGUGAGAAUCCCGUCUGCGGUUGCUGCUCACACGCUGGCCAAUACGAGGUGCUCUCGAAGAGUCGGGUUGUUUGGGAAUGCAGCCCAAAAUGGGUGGUAAAUUUCAUCUAAAGCUAAAUAUGGGCACGAGACCGAUAGCGAACAAGUACCGUGAGGGAAAGAUGAAAAGUACUUUGAAAAGAGAGUUAAAAGGACGUGAAGCCGUUGAAAGGGAACCGCUUGAAGUCAGCAAUGCUCCGGUACCAUUCAGGUUUCCUCGCCGGACUUGGGGUGCUGCCAAAGCGAGUGGGGUAAAACCUGCCGGUUGGCGGUCCAUCAAAGAAGACCGGGGGAUUCUGCAUUUGGUGCUGCACGAGCGCGUCAGCAUCAGUUUGUCCUGCGAGAGAUGGCUCGUUGAGAAGGUAGCCUGGCCCGGUACCUCGUGUGCUGGCCGGGUGUUACAGCUUGGCGGCUGAGCAUCGUAUGGAUGGACUGAGGAAGAGAGGAAAAAGUCGCCUCUAGUGCCGUGUGAUUUACCGUUUGGGCCGCAUCUAGGGCCGGGUGAAGAAUCUGUUGCGGGACAGUGCGCCCUUGAGGACGCCCUGUGCUGUGACCUUUGCUGGUUGUUUAGGUGCGCGCGGAUAGCCACACACGCUGGAUGCGGGGGUAACCCCUACCUUGACGAAAUGGCUUCAAUCGACCCGUCUUGAAACACGGACCAAGGAGUCUAACAUAUGCGCGAGUCUUAGGGUGGCAAACCACUGAGGCGUAAUGAAAGUGUGCGGCGCAAGCUGCUGGAUGAGAGCCGCGUGGGGAAAAGCGCGGUGCAUCAUCGACCGAUCUGGAUAUUCUUUGAAAGAUUUGAGUAAGAGCGUAUCUGUCGGGACCCGAAAGAUGGUGAACUAUGCCUGAAUAGGGUGAAGUCAGAGGAAACUCUGAUGGAAGCUCGCAGCGUAUCUGACGUGCAAAUCGAUCGUCAAAUUUGGGUAUAGGGGCGAAAGACUAAUCGAACCAUCUAGUAGCUGGUUCCCAC
rnacentral:misc_RNA from 1 species